CUGUCUCAAGACUAAGCCAUGCAUGUCCAAGUAUGAACGCUUCGUACUGUGAAACUGCGAAUGGCUCAUUAAAUCAGUUAUAGUUUAUUUGAUGGUUGCUUGCUACAUGGAUAACCGUGGUAAUUCUAGAGCUAAUACAUGCACAGAGUCCCGACUUCCGGGAGGGACGUAUUUAUUAGAUCCAAAACCAGCGCGGGUCUCCCUUCGGGGUGCCCGGUCCCUGGGCGAUUCAUGAUAACUGCUCGAAUCGCACGGCCCUGGCGCCGGCGAUGGUCCAUUCAAAUUUCUGCCCUAUCAACUUUCGAUGGUACGGUAGUGGCCUACCAUGGUUGCAACGGGUGACGGAGAAUUAGGGUUCGAUUCCGGAGAGGGAGCCUGAGAAACGGCUACCACAUCCAAGGAAGGCAGCAGGCGCGCAAAUUACCCAAUCCCGACUCGGGGAGGUAGUGACAAUAAAUAACAAUGCCGGGCUCUCGUAGUCUGGCAAUUGGAAUGAGUCCAAUCUAAACCCCUUAACGAGGAACAAUUGGAGGGCAAGUCUGGUGCCAGCAGCCGCGGUAAUUCCAGCUCCAAUAGCGUAUAUUAAAGUUGUUGCAGUUAAAAAGCUCGUAGUUGGAUUUCGGGGCGGCCCGGCCGGUCCGCCGCGAGGCGAGCACUGGUCGGGCGCCCUUCCUCUCGAAGGCUUCGACUGCUCUUGAUUGCGGUGGUCGAGGAGUUCGGGACGUUUACUUUGAAAAAAUUAGAGUGUUCAAGGCAGGCCGUCGCCUGAAUACAUUAGCAUGGAAUAAUGGAAGAGGACCUCGGUCCUAUUUUGUUGGUUUCCAGGGCCGAAGUAAUGAUUAAGAGGGACAGUUGGGGGCAUUCGUAUUCAAUUGUCAGAGGUGAAAUUCUCGGAUUUAUGGAAGACGAACAAGUGCGAAAGCAUUUGCCAAGGAUGUUUUCAUUAAUCAAGAACGAAAGUUGGGGGUUCGA
rnacentral:rRNA from 1 species